rnacentral:rRNA from 1 species
ACAUCAGAGCUUGCUCUGGUUGAUCAGUGGCGAACGGGUGAGUAACACGUGAGUAACCUGCCCUUGACUCUGGGAUAACUCCGGGAAACCGGGGCUAAUACCGGAUACGAGACGCGACCGCAUGGUCGGCGUCUGGAAAGUUUUUCGGUCAAGGAUGGACUCGCGGCCUAUCAGCUUGUUGGUGAGGUAAUGGCUCACCAAGGCGUCGACGGGUAGCCGGCCUGAGAGGGCGACCGGCCACACUGGGACUGAGACACGGCCCAGACUCCUACGGGAGGCAGCAGUGGGGAAUAUUGCACAAUGGGCGAAAGCCUGAUGCAGCGACGCCGCGUGAGGGAUGAAGGCCUUCGGGUUGUAAACCUCUUUCAGUAGGGAAGAAGCGAAAGUGACGGUACCUGCAGAAGAAGCGCCGGCUAACUACGUGCCAGCAGCCGCGGUAAUACGUAGGGCGCAAGCGUUGUCCGGAAUUAUUGGGCGUAAAGAGCUCGUAGGCGGUUUGUCGCGUCUGGUGUGAAAACUCAAGGCUCAACCUUGAGCUUGCAUCGGGUACGGGCAGACUAGAGUGUGGUAGGGGUGACUGGAAUUCCUGGUGUAGCGGUGGAAUGCGCAGAUAUCAGGAGGAACACCGAUGGCGAAGGCAGGUCACUGGGCCACUACUGACGCUGAGGAGCGAAAGCAUGGGGAGCGAACAGGAUUAGUACCCUGGUAGUCCAUGCCGUAAACGUUGGGCACUAGGUGUGGGGCUCAUUCCACGAGUUCCGCGCCGCAGCUAACGCAUUAAGUGCCCCGCCUGGGGAGUACGGCCGCAAGGCUAAAACUCAAAGGAAUUGACGGGGGCCCGCACAAGCGGCGGAGCAUGCGGAUUAAUUCGAUGCAACGCGAAGAACCUUACCAAGGCUUGACAUACACCGGAAUCAUGCAGAGAUGUGUGCGUCUUCGGACUGGUGUACAGGUGGUGCAUGGUUGUCGUCAGCUCGUGUCGUGAGAUGUUGGGUUAAGUCCCGCAACGAGCGCAACCCUCGUCCUAUGUUGCCAGCACGUCAUGGUGGGGACUCAUAGGAGACUGCCGGGGUCAACUCGGAGGAAGGUGGGGAUGACGUCAAAUCAUCAUGCCCCUUAUGUCUUGGGCUUCACGCAUGCUACAAUGGCCGGUACAAAGGGCUGCGAUACCGCGAGGUGGAGCGAAUCCCAAAAAGCCG